UCCCUGUUACCAGGGCAGUCUAGUUAGAGAAAUACAACUAACUAAAAGGGUUGCGCUCGUUGAAGGACUUAACCUAACAUCUCACGACACGAGCUGACGACGGCCAUGCAACACCUGUCACCGAAUUCCUUACGGCACAAUUUCCUUUCGGAAACCUUCUCGGGAUGUCAAACCUGGGUAAGGUUCUUCGCUUACCAUCGAAUUAAACAACACGCUCCACCGCUUGUGCGGGUCCCCGUCAAUUCCUUUAUGUUUUAGUCUUGCGACCGUACUCCACAGGCGGGAUGCUUAACGCGUUAGCUUCGCUACAAGAAGGGUCGAUACUCCUUACAGCUAGCAUCCAUAGUUUACGGCGUGGACUAC
rnacentral:misc_RNA from 1 species